rnacentral:misc_RNA from 1 species
AACGCACAUUGCGCCCCCUGGUAUUCCGGGGGGCAUGCCUGUUCGAGCGUCAUUACAACCCUCAAGCUCUGCUUGGUAUUGGGCCCCGCCAGUUCUGGCAGGCCUUAAAAUCAGUGGCGGUGCCAUUCGGCUUCAAGCGUAGUAAUUCUUCUCGCUUUGGAGACCCGGGUGUGUGCUUGCCAGCAACCCCCAAUUUUUUCAGGUUGACCUCGGAUCAGGUAGGGAUACCCGCUGAACUUAA